rnacentral:tRNA from 1 species
AAGACUUUAAGUUAUUAAAACUAUUAUAUUUCAAAUAUAAAAAUAAAUUACUCUAAUUUUUAAGUCUUA